rnacentral:rRNA from 1 species
UUGGAGGGCAAGUCUGGUGCCAGCAGCCGCGGUAAUUCCAGCUCCAAUAGCGUAUAUUAAAGUUGCUGCAGUUAAAAAGCUCGUAGUUGAAUUUCGGGACCAAUAUGUCGGUCGUGCCUCGGUACGUACUGGCAUCGUUGGUUUCUCCCUUCUGACGAACCAUGAUGUCAUUUAUUUGGUGUCGUGGGGAAUCAGGACUGUUACUUUGAAAAAAUUAGAGUGUUUAAAGCAGGCUCACGCUUGAAUACAUUAGCAUGGAAUAAUGAAAUAGGACGUUUGAUUCUAUUUUGUUGGUUUCUAGGGUCGACGUAAUGAUUAAUAGGGAUAGUUGGGGGCAUUAGUAUUCAAUUGUCAGAGGUGAAAUUCUUGGAUUUAUUGAAGACUAACUACUGCGAAAGCAUUUGCCAAGGAUGUUUUCAUUAAUCAAGAACGAAAGUUAGGGGAUCGAAGACGAUCAGAUACCGUCGUAGUCUUAACCAUAAACUAUGCCGACUAGGGAUCGGAUGAUGUUAAUUUUUUAAUGACUCAUUCGGCGCCUUACGGGAAACCAAAGUGUUUGGGUUC